UACGAAGGGUGCAAACGUUGCUCGGAAUCAUUGGGCGUAAAGCGCACGUAGGCGGCCUUGCAAGUCGGAUGUGAAAUCCCACGGCUCAACCGUGGACGUGCAUUCGAAACUGCUUGGCUCGAGUAUGGAAGAGGGUCGCGGAAUUCCCGGUGUAGAGGUGAAAUUCGUAGAUAUCAGGAGGAACACCGGUGGCGAAGGCGGGUCUCUGGGCAAUAACUGACGCUGAGGAGCGAAAGCGUGGGGAGCGAACAGG
rnacentral:rRNA from 1 species